UACGUAGGGGGCAAGCGUUGUCCGGAUUUAUUGGGCGUAAAGCGCUCGCAGGUGGUCCGUUGCGUCGUGCGUGAAAGACCCCGGCUCAACUGGGGAGGGUCACGCGAUACUGAUCGACUCGAAGGCAGGAGAGGGUAGUGGAAUUCCCGGUGUAGUGGUGAAAUGCGUAGAUAUCGGGAGGAACACCAGUGGCGAAGGCGACUACCUGGCCUGUUCUUGACGCUGAGGCGCGAAAGCUAGGGGAGCAAACGGG
rnacentral:rRNA from 1 species